rnacentral:lncRNA from 1 species
ACGGAUUGAACCAAAUAAAUUCUUUUCUAACAUGAAAUGCAUUUAACGGGAUGAAAAUACCCUUGAAAUACUAUCGUCUCUUUUGUGGUAUCAGAAACUGUGCGAUUAGUUGCACUCAUUGUUUCAUGUAUCGCACUUUCAAAAACUGACAUCACUGUCCUACAUAAAGUGCAAUUCAUCCGUGAUUAUCUGUGAUAUUGAUAUCUGAAAGGUUCUCUCAGCUGACAUUGGUGACGAAUACCAUUAUAUCAUGUCAUGUAAUUAUUUCAAAGAUGUAAGAUGUAGAUACUUACCACAAUACUUGUAAACAAAAUAUAAAUGUCAUUAAAUUCAAACAAGUAUGUUCAACCCAACAUAUUGUUAAGCUUGAGAAACUUUGUAGAUUUAUCAAAUCUAUUUUUGUGAAAGUCUAUCCUCUUGGUUAAAACAACUAUAUAUGUUUAUUUAUCUUUUGUGUAAAUA